rnacentral:rRNA from 1 species
GGCUCAGAACGAACGCUGGCGGCGUGGAUAAGACAUGCAAGUCGAACGAGAGAAUUGCUAGCUUGCUAAUAAUUCUCUAGUGGCGCACGGGUGAGUAACACGCGAGUAACCUGCCCCCGAGAGCGGGAUAGCCCUGGGAGACUGGGAUUAAUACCGCAUAGUAUCGAAAGAUUAAAGCAGCAAUGCGCUUGGGGAUGGGCUCGCGGCCUAUUAGUUAGUUGGUGAGGUAACGGCUCACCAAGGCGAUGACGGGUAGCCGGUCUGAGAGGAUGUCCGGCCACACUGGAACUGAGACACGGUCCAGACACCUACGGGUGGCAGCAGUCGAGAAUCAUUCACAAUGGGGGAAACCCUGAUGGUGCGACGCCGCGUGGGGGAAUGAAGGUCUUCGGAUUGUAAACCCCUGUCAUGUGGGAGCAAAUUAAAAAGAUAGUACCACAAGAGGAAGAGACGGCUAACUCUGUGCCAGCAGCCGCGGUAAUACAGAGGUCUCAAGCGUUGUUCGGAAUCACUGGGCG